rnacentral:rRNA from 1 species
ACUCCUACGGGAGGCAGCAGUGGGGAAUAUUGCACAAUGGGCGCAAGCCUGAUGCAGCCAUGCCGCGUGUAUGAAGAAGGCCUUCGGGUUGUAAAGUACUUUCAGCAGUGAGGAAGGCAGGUACGUUAAUAGCGUGCUUGUUUGACGUUAGCUGCAGAAGAAGCACCGGCUAACUCCGUGCCAGCAGCCGCGGUAAUACGGAGGGUGCGAGCGUUAAUCGGAAUUACUGGGCGUAAAGCGCAUGCAGGUGGUUUGUUAAGUCAGAUGUGAAAGCCCGGGGCUCAACCUCGGAAUUGCAUUUGAAACUGGCAGACUAGAGUACUGUAGAGGGGGGUAGAAUUUCAGGUGUAGCGGUGAAAUGCGUAGAGAUCUGAAGGAAUACCGGUGCGAAGGCGGCCCCCUGGACAGAUACUGACACUCAGAUGCGAAAGCGUGGGGAGCAAACAGGAUUAGAUACCCUGGUAGGAUAGCG